GAUGAACGCUGGCGGCGUGCCUAAUACAUGCAAGUCGAGCGAACAGAUGAGGAGCUUGCUCCUCUGACGUUAGCGGCGGACGGGUGAGUAACACGUGGAUAACCUACCUAUAAGACUGGGAGAACUUCGGGAAACCGGAGCUAAUACCGGAUAAUAUAUUGAACCGCAUGGUGCAAUAGUGAAAGACGGUUUUGCUGUCACUUAUAGAUGGAUCCGCGCCGCAUUAGCGAGUUGGUAAGGUAACGGCUUACCAAGGCAACGAUGCGUAGCCGACCUGAGAGGGUUGUUGGCCCCCCCGGAACUGAGACACGGUCCCGGCUCCCUACGGAGGCCGCCGGUGGGAAUCUUCCGCAAUGGGCCGCAACCUGACGCCGCCCAGCCGCGUGAGUUAUGGAGGUCUUCGGAUCGUAAAACUCUGUUAUUAGGGAAAAACAAGUGUGUAAGUAACUCUGCACGUCUUGACGGUACCUAAUCAGAUAGCCACGGCUAACUACGUG
rnacentral:rRNA from 1 species